rnacentral:rRNA from 1 species
UACAGAGGUCUCAAGCGUUGUUCGGAAUCACUGGGCGUAAAGGGUGCGUAGGCGGCGCGGAAAGUUGGGUGUGAAAUCCCUCGGCUCAACCGAGGAACUGCGCCCAAAACUACAGUGCUUGAGGGAGAUAGAGGUGAGCGGAACUUAGGGUGGAGCGGUGAAAUGCGUUGAUAUCCUAAGGAACGCCAGGGGCGAAAGCGGCUCACUGGGUCUCUUCUGACGCUGAGACGCGAAAGCGUGGGGAGCGAACAGG